rnacentral:rRNA from 1 species
UAGGGAAUCUUCGGCAAUGGGGGCAACCCUGACCGAGCAACGCCGCGUGAGUGAAGAAGGUUUUCGGAUCGUAAAGCUCUGUUGUAAGAGAAGAACGUGUGUGAGAGUGGAAAGUUCACACAGUGACGGUAACUUACCAGAAAGGGACGGCUAACUACGUGCCAGCAGCCGCGGUAAUACGUAGGUCCCGAGCGUUGUCCGGAUUUAUUGGGCGUAAAGCGAGCGCAGGCGGUUUAAUAAGUCUGAAGUUAAAGGCAGUGGCUUAACCAUUGUUCGCUUUGGAAACUGUUAAACUUGAGUGCAGAAGGGGAGAGUGGAAUUCCAUGUGUAUCGGUGAAAUGCGUAGAUAUAUGGAGGAACACCGGUGGCGAAAGCGGCUCUCUGGUCUGUAACUGACGCUGAGGCUCGAAAGCGUGGGGAGCAAACAGG